GGCUGCCCCUCCUCCGCAGGCCCCCACCUGCACCCCCACCAGCCCCCCUGCCAGCACGGACCCCCGUCGGCAGUCCCAUUGGCUUGUCUGUGGCCCCGGCUCCUGCCGGCAGGCUGAAGACAGGUGCUGAGCCGGCCGCACACUUGGUUUUCAUUAAGGCUCCCAGACAGCCGUGGCUGCAGGCCAGGCCCGGCUCACGCGGGAUCCAGCCCUCCCUGGGGUCCAAAAACAGCCGCCACCGGCCAGCGGGAGAGGCUUGCCCUGCAAGCGAGGGCUUCGGGCUCAGGGAAGCUACAAGCUGAGGGACCCCCACCCACCGCCCCGGGCUGGGCUCAGAGGGUCUGGACCCCUCCCCAGGAGCCCCUGCUCCUGUUAUAUAACGGCUCCCCGAGGGGCCAGGGGCUGACCUGCAGACACUGGGGCUGCACCUUCAUCCUGGGCGGGCAGCCAUGGGAAGGGAAGCCAGAGGCGGGGAGGUGGCCUACCUGGCCGGGCUCGGCAGGGUGUCCUCGCGGGGGAAGGGGCCGCGGCCGCGGGCAGGCUAGCCAGGUGCGCGGUGCAGGGGGAGGCUGGGACGCUGAGGGCCGCAGGCUGUGCCUCUCUCCCUCCUGUCUGCUCCCCCGCCCCCUGGCCGCCUCCCUCCUCCACUUCAAAGCGCACCCACGAGAGGGGGUUCCCAGGGAGGCGCAGCCCAGCGGCGGCCGGGCGGGCGGGCGCGGCGGCCUUUAUAGCUGUCAGGCAGACGGGGAGGAACUCACACUUCCCACCAGGCUGCUCCCCCGCCCGCCGCCCCGCCGGCCGGCCCGGCGCACACUUUAACCCGCUCCGCGCCUCUGGAGCACAGCCAGGCCGGCCCAGCUGCCUGCCGCCCGCCGCCGCUACGGAGAAACUGAGGCUCCGAGACCGCCCAGGGACGCCCAGGCUCGCAUGUCUGGUAAGCAGCACAGCCCAGCCCCCUGGUGAGCACAUCCCCGCCAAGGCAGGCUCUUGGAUCGGGUUCAUCCUCUCCAGACUCUGGGAAGGCCCGUCUUAUCCAUCUCUGGUUUUUUUCCCCUGGGGCCCCUGGGAUGUUCAGUGGAACCCAGGCCCACACUGCCCCCUGUUGGCACACUGGAUAGCAGACACAAUGGGACCCGUCACACAGCACUGGUGAGCGUGCACACGCACACACACAUCCAUGCACACGUAUGUGCACACACAUACAGGGGCACACACUCACCGACCCCCUCACAGGCACCCUGCUGAUCACUCUCGCGCGCUGGGGCCUCUGCCGGCCCCACCCCGUCCCUCCAGCCAAGCACCAGUGCUUUGCAUCCCCAGUCAGAGUCCCCAGCUCUCCGGACAUAGCUGGAUUCGCGUCCAGCCAGAGCCAGAGUGACUAAUGGUUUCCCGUGGGAGGGACCCUACAGCCAGCCGGCGCAAACACCCCAGCACCUUCUCUUUGCUCAGUGGGACAGCGCCCGGGAGGCAGGAUGCCACCCUGGCUCUGGGACCUCCAGCAGGUGUGUGACCUGGGCUGGCC
rnacentral:lncRNA from 1 species